CCAAGGAGAAUAAAAUCGGCGUAGACGAGGAGAUGGUAACAUGAAGUGGACGAUUAAAUGAAAGGUCUGAGAUCGCUCUUCAGUCUCCCCCACAUCUGCCCAGCUCGCCAGGAAAAACUUGGCCAUUUCUGUGUCGUUACGCUUGCUCAACCAAACUCGCAGCAAAAAACAUCUCUCUCUCUCUCUCUCUCUCUCUUCCUCUUUCUUCACAGAAUUCCCAAUCUAUGGUUUGUUUUUCAAAUACUGUACCAAGGAAAUGAUCAACAGCAACGCAGCCUCCUCGCCUGCGAAGCCGCCUCCACCUCCGCCUACUCAACCGCCACAAUCAAUGGCCAUUUCAUCAUCUACAGCUACCACAUCAUCAACCGCACCACCUACGGCUGAUGGCUCAGGCAAGAAGGUGAGGAAGCCCUACACCAUCACCAAGUCCCGCGAGAGCUGGACCGAAGAAGAGCACGAUAAGUUCCUCGAAGCUCUUCAGCUGUUUGAUCGUGACUGGAAAAAGAUAGAAGAUUUUGUGGGUUCAAAGACAGUGAUCCAGAUUCGGAGUCAUGCACAGAAAUACUUUUUGAAGGUCCAAAAGAAUGGGACAAUUGCACAUGUCCCUCCUCCCCGCCCCAAGCGCAAAGCAAGUCAUCCUUAUCCACAAAAGGCAUCUAAAAAUGUUUUAGUUCCACUCCCAGCAUCCAUGGCAUACACUUCUUCAAUAAAUACACUUGCACCUGGAUAUCCUCCAUGGGAUGACACUUCCUUGCUAAUAAAUACUGCAACAAGCAAAAUUAUGCCAUCACAAGACGAAUUUACAAAUCUUCAGGGGGCUGAAGCUGAUAUUGGAUCAAAGGGCGUAGCAAGUUUAAGUAACAAUAACAUUAGCAGCAUGGGGAACCUACGUAGAAAACUGCCAAGUUCUGAGAUACCAAAACAAGCGAAAAAGGCUCCUGUGCUUCAUGGUUUGCCAGAUUUUGCUGAAGUAUAUAGCUUUAUUGGGAGUGUCUUCGAUCCAGACACAACUGAUCAUGUUCAAAAGCUCAAGGAAAUGGAUCCUAUAAAUUUUGAAACUGUUUUGUUAUUGAUGAGGAACCUCACAGUUAAUUUGUCUAGCCCUGAUUUUGAGCCAAUUUGAUUGCUCUGUAACCUUGGCUAGUUGAUCUCCUUGGUUAAUUCAGAGAAAGGUCCUGUCAUCAUGUGACAUUAAUGUGCUGGGAGUUACUGCCAAGAACCAAACUAAUGAUAUAUCAACUUGAAGUUUUUGCUACUCACAGCUUGCUGACUGUAGGGACCAGGUGAUGUGUAGCCAGAAUGUCUUGCUCCUUCACUGGAAUUAGUAGUGCCUAGCUCGGAAUAUCAGUAGAGGCAAAGCACAGCAGCCGCAGCCAACAAAUGGCUGUGAGUGGAAGAAAGUUAUAUAGUGAAUUCUAAUGUCUGCAACUGCACCGAACUUAAUUUCCACUGAUCUCUGUAGGAAGGGUCGUUCGUAUUCUGUACAUGAUGGGUUCUUCAACCAAAAGUGUGUAUAUCUUGCGAGGUUUACUUGGUUGCUAUUUAACCAUUCAUUAAUAUAGUGUCAUAUCCACGUGUAACUAUGAGAUUGAACACAUUACAAUAGGAAAGCCUUAGACAUGUUGAUGUAGGUAAUCAAGUAGUUUUGUAUACUGUUGUUUUUCCUUUCUUAUUUGUUGUUUCUUCAGAUGUAUUAUGUUUGUUAGAGAAAGCUAAAUACAUUCAUUCCUACUGAUAUUUUGUCAAGAUUGUUACUAA